rnacentral:tRNA from 1 species
CGGUGUAGCUCAACUGGCAGAGCAGCUGAUUUGUAAUCAGCAGGUUGUGGGUUCGAUUCCAAUCACC